CGGGUUGUCAUGUCAAUGGCACUGCCCGGUAGCUAAAUGCGGAAGAGAUAAGUGCUGAAAGCAUCUAAGCACGAAACUUGCCCCGAGAUGAGUUCUCCCUGACUCCUUGAGAGUCCUGAAGGAACGUUGAAGACGACGACGUUGAUAGGCCGGGUGUGUAAGCGCAGUGAUGCGUUGAGCUAACCGGUACUAAUGAACCGUGAGGCUUAACCUUACAACGCCGAAGGUGUUU
rnacentral:rRNA from 1 species